AUGGAAAUCAGGGCUGGUCGUAUUUCAGACCAGUAUCUCCUGCUUGCUGGAGAAAAGAUGCUGGCCUGUGAUCCUGAAAAGAGAGAAAACCAGCACAAUGCUCAUCAAAAACACCUCCUGCUAAUAAUCCAGGCUGCAAACAUUCACAGACCCCUUGUUGCUUCUGCUCUUCAUUAUUUUCCCUGGAUCAGACAAACCUGUGGAGAGAUGCUCAGCUGUGCUACAAGAUGCCAAAUCCUGGGCUCCUCUGAUAGGAAUUAUUCUUUAGAACAGGAAUGUAGCAUGCUGGUGGGAUUCUCAGCAGCCAAAAUCAUGAGCAGAACUGAUUUGACAGCAAUUACAGCAGCAGGGCUCUGA
rnacentral:lncRNA from 1 species